UGGGGAAUAUUGGACAAUGGGCGAAAGCCUGAUCCAGCCAUGCCGCGUGUGUGAAGAAGGCCUUUUGGUUGUAAAGCACUUUAAGUGGGGAGAAAAAGCUUAUGGUUAAUACCCAUAAGCCCUGACGUUACCCACAGAAUAAGCACCGGCUAACUCUGUGCCAGCAGCCGCGGUAAUACAGAGGGUGCAAGCGUUAAUCGGAAUUACUGGGCGUAAAGCGCGCGUAGGUGGUUAUUUAAGUCAGAUGUGAAAGCCCCGGGCUUAACCUGGGAACUGCAUCUGAUACUGGAUAACUAGAGUAGGUGAGAGGGGAGUAGAAUUCCAGGUGUAGCGGUGAAAUGCGUAGAGAUCUGGAGGAAUACCGAUGGCGAAGGCAGCUCCCUGGCAUCAUACUGACACUGAGGUGCGAAAGCGUGGGUAGCAAACAGGAUUAGAUACCCUGGUAGUCCACGCCGUAAACGAUGUCUACCAGUCGUUGGGUCUUUUAAAGACUUAGUGACGCAGUUAACGCAAUAAGUAGACCGCCUGGGGAGUACGGCCGCAAGGUUA
rnacentral:rRNA from 1 species